rnacentral:rRNA from 1 species
UACGAAGGGGGCUAGCGUUGUUCGGAAUCACUGGGCGUAAAGGGCGCGUAGGCGGCCGAUCAAGUCGGGGGUGAAAGCCUGUGGCUCAACCACAGAAUUGCCUUCGAUACUGUUUGGCUUGAGACCGGAAGAGGUAAGUGGAACUGCGAGUGUAGAGGUGAAAUUCGUAGAUAUUCGCAAGAACACCAGUGGCGAAGGCGGCUUACUGGUCCGGUUCUGACGCUGAGGCGCGAAAGCGUGGGAGCAACAGGAUUAGAU